CAGCUACCAACCUUUCCACCACCUCCUCCACAUGAGCAGGGCACGGGUUUCCCUUUCACUUCAGACUCUCGGCUGAAGAGGUAUGCAGGCAAAGCCCCACCCCCCAUGUGUGGUGAUCCUGCUGUCACCAUGUGAUGUUUCUGCUCCCAUCCUUGGCACUCCAGCUCAGUUCUGUUUCAAAGAGGAUUUGUGCUGUAAAGCCUGAGGAGAAGUUGGACAGCAGACUGUCAGUUAACGCGCUGCUGAAGGACUUCAGCUCUCCUUUGAGGGCAGAAUCCGAGGUUGUAAGAACAGAACCAAAGAAGCCACCACCAUCACCAACUUUCAGGACCAGGACGGCCUCGUAAGGAUCCCUGUGGUUAGGAAAAACGAGAUGUUCAGCAGCAUUCAAAUCAAGUGGAGGACAAAGCCACCAGGGGAAAAAUGACAGAUUUCUCUGCUUUGUUCACAAUAUUAUAAGGCCAGAAGACUUCUGCAUGGCAGGUAAUAUACAGCAAAUCCUUUAGUGACAAACGGGCCUGCUCCAUGAACAUGGGACUGCUGCGUGGAUUCAGUGCAGAAGGUGUCUACUUUUCCUCAUUCUAGUAUUUGGGAAACAAAAUUAUCAAAAUUAAGAAAAAAAUUUGGGCUGGAGGUUUAGCUCAGCGAUACAAGCACCUGCCUGGCAA
rnacentral:lncRNA from 1 species